UGAGUGGCAGCUUUACUGGAAGUGCUGGUUGCUAAAACUGUUGAACAGGUUAAGGGAGCAUCUCAGGUUAACGCUCCACACCAACACUGAGAGCAGACAGAAGAACAUGCUCCUCUUCAUGCUCCUCGCGGCAUCCCUGGCUUUUACUGCAGGGCAGUAUGGAGCCUAUGAAACUUCUCCAACUGUAUCAGAAGAACCAGUCUUCACAAACCCUGAGACUUCCGCCACCACUCAGAAGACCACAACACAGCAGUACAAUUAUCCAGUGGUAACAGGACUGAGGCUGAAGGUGAAGUGUUUUAAAGAACUGAACGCCACCGUGGCUAAGCAGCUUCUGAAGCAGUAUCUACCUGAAAUUUCUUCUGAUCUCUUCCGUCUCACUGUAAAGAACAUUACCAAGUUAUGAAGACCUGCAGCAGCAGAAUAUUCACAUUUCUGAAACCUUGAUCCUCUACUGCAUCUUUAAGCUAAUGUUUGGCAGUGUUUAAUGUUAAACUAUAACUAUAUUAUCAAGGGAAAUCAUAUUGGAAUACUUUAUUAUUUUUAGGGCACUAAUACAAAUAAUUAGAGUGAUUAUUAAGCUUUUUUUCUAUUAUUAUUACCUUUUUUUUAAGACCCCAAGUUUUGAAAUAUAUACCUCUAUUAAAUACCUCUAUAAAAAGAGAUUUGUAGAGACGAUAUAAUCAGGUUUAAUUCGUUUCUACACUUUCUUUAAUAAAACUGUGAUUCAAAAUUUAAAAUAAAAAAAUUAAAGCGUCAGUCAAUAUGAUUUUGUUUCUAAACUGUAAGCAGAAGCAUUUCUGAGUGGAGAAGAAUAUGUAUAAAAUAUUGUGUUUAAUGGUACCAGUGUUGUGGAACGACCAUCCCUGCUAGGCCUAAAAUAUUCAUUCUUAAAAUACUGGGGUGUCGAGUCGCUUUUCGCGGGAGUUCUUCUCUUUUUCUGGCCACGUCACACGUCUUUACAUACUUCGGCUCAGUUUUACUGAACGCAAACGGCUGGUGGAGCAACAGGGACUUCAGAAGAGGAAACUCAGAGCUCAGUAGCUCCUCCAUUCACUCAUAGUAAAACCAAAGAAAUGAAAGAGUGAAGUUUCUGACUGAUCUCUCUCUCUCUAUCUCUCUCUCUCUGUCUUUGACUGAACAUAACCUGGAAUCGGAUUCAUCAUCUCUAAAAGGAGACCGCAUCACACCCGCCCAGUUUAAAAUGAUUCUUCGGCAUGCUCGGUGCAAUUACCCAUUCUCACCAGAGAGGGCUCCAAAUCUCCUAAAUCCCAAAAUUUACAGACAUCAGCUUUAAAUUAAAGUUGUGUAUUGAAUUUAUAUAUUCUUGUUUUGUUCGACUGCAUGAUAAUAUAAUAUAUAGAGGAAUAUAAAAAUACACUGGACUAUCUUGUAUUUGGGGCCACUAUAUACACUCUACAGCCUUAGAAUAUGUGCUUACCUUCAAAAAUGACACCAAAAAAUUAAAACAAAAAAUGUGUGUUGAAUGAUUUACACAGACAGUAAGAAUUGAAAAAAAAAAAAAUACAGUUGAAAAAACAUAUUGUGACAUCUAGUGGGUUUUAUCAUAACACACCUAGAAGAGUUUAGGGUUAAGUUAUAUAUUUUGUGUGGUGUUAAAUGUAUUUAAUGUUACAAUUUACUGAGGAAAUAUUAUUAAAUAGAAAAAUAAACUGUA